rnacentral:lncRNA from 1 species
CUCGCGCCGCCCUCCCCUCCCGCCGGCGGGCUCCAAUCCCCACGUUCCCCCGCUCCCCGCCCCUCGCCCCCGCCCGCUCCCUCCCGGCCUCCCCGCCUUCUCCGGGGCUCUGGCCGCGGAGGGACGCGGGGACGGGAAGGCCGGAGCCCGGAAGGCCGCGCGCACGGUUCGGAGGGCCCCGGGUCCCCGCGCCCCAGGCAGACGAGGACGCCCCGCGCCGGCCCCGGGGCCCAGGUCGCGACCCCGGGACCCCUGGGACCCCUAGGACCCCCGGGACCCCCGGCGGCCCAGCAACCCUCGGCGCUUGCUGGAGCCGGGGCUGGAGCUUGGAGGGGCUGGAGCGGGGGCUGGAGCCAGGGCUGGAGCUGGGGUGCUGGAGCUGCAGCUGCAGCUGGAGGUAAAUCUGGAGCUAGAGCCGGGCCUGGAGCCGGGGCUGGAGCUAGGGCUGGAGCCAGAGGCUCUAGGAGCUGGAGCCAGGGCUGGAGCUGGAGCCGGGACUGGAGCUGGAGCCAGGACGAGCUGGAGCCAGGGCUGGAGCUGGAGCUGCUGGAGCUGGAGCUGGAGGUGGAGGUAAAUCUGGAGCUAGAGCCAGGGCUGGAGCCGGGGCUGGAGCUGGAGCUGCUGGAGCUGGAGCUGCUGGAGCUGGAGCUGCUGGAGCUGGAGUUGGAGCCUGCACUUGGAGCUGGAGCUAAACCUGGAGCUGGAGCCAGAGCCAGAAGUAGAGCUGGAGCUGGAGCAGCUGGAGGUGGAGCCAGAGCUGGAGCAGCUGGAGGUGGAACCAGAGCUGGAGCUGGAGCUGGAGCCGGAGCUGGAGCCGGAGCUGGCGCUGGCCCUCCCUCCCUCCCUCCUGAGCGCACAGAAAGCCGUCCUCAGGGCUCAGGGACGGGCUCAGGGACGCGUCCCCUCGGCACUGACCCCCGUUCCUGUGCAGCGUGGGGACCCAGUGCCAGGGAGCAUCCCAUGGGCCCUGGCGUGAUUUGGGUCUCCCUGGAGGGGAAGCUGGAAGGAAGGGACGGAGGUCUUUCUAGAAACUCUGCAUCUUCUCCCAUUCUCAGAUUCCACAUGGGUCCCUAG